rnacentral:rRNA from 1 species
UGCCAGCAGCCGCGGUAAUACGGAGGGUCCAAGCGUUAUCCGGAUUUAUUGGGUUUAAAGGGAGCGUAGGUGGCGAGAUAAGUCAGAUGUGAAAGUUUGCGGCUCAACCGUAAAAUUGCAUUUGAUACUGUUUUGCUAGAGUAUCGGAGAGGAAAGCGGAAUUCCUGGUGUAGCGGUGAAAUGCGCAGAGAUCAGGAAGAACACCAAUGGCGAAGGCAGCUUUCUGGACGAUAACUGACACUGAGGCUCGAAAGCGUGGGGAGCGAACAGGAUUAGAUA